rnacentral:rRNA from 1 species
UGGGGAAUCUUGCACAAUGGGGGCAACCCUGAUGCAGCGACGCCGCGUGAGCGAUGAAGCCCUUCGGGGCGUAAAGCUCUUUCGACCGGAACGAUAAUGACGGUACCGGGAGAAGAAGCUGCGGCUAACUACGUGCCAGCAGCCGCGGUAAGACGUAGGGUGCAAGCGUUGUCCGGAUUUACUGGGCGUAAAGCGCGCGUAGGCGGUCUGUUAAGUGAGAAGUGAAAUCUCCAGGGCUCAACCCGGAAACUGCUUUUCAUACUGGCAGACUUGAGGAAUGCAGAGGCAACUAGAAUUCCUGGUGUAGCGGUGACAUGCAUUGAUAUCAGGAGGAACACCCAUGGCGAAGGCAGGUUGCUGGGCAUUAUCUGACGCUGAGGCGCGAAAGCGUGGGUAGCAAACA